UACAGAGGUCUCAAGCGUUUGUUCGGAUUCAUUGGGCGUAAAGGGUGCGUAGGCGGCGCGGUAAGUCGGGUGUGAAAUCUUGGAGCUUAACUCCGAAACUGCAUUCGAUACUGCCGUGCUUGAGGACUGGAGAGGAGACUGGAAUUUACGGUGUAGCGGUGAAAUGCGUAGAUAUCGUAAGGAAGACCAGUGGCGAAGGCGGGUCUCUGGACAGUUCCUGACGCUGAGGCACGAAAGCGUGGGGGAGCAAACAGG
rnacentral:rRNA from 1 species